rnacentral:misc_RNA from 1 species
GAUGAAGAACGUAGCGAAAUGCGAUAAGUAAUGUGAAUUGCAGAAUUCAGUGAAUCAUCGAAUCUUUGAACGCACAUUGCGCCCGCCAGUACUCUGGCGGGCAUGCCUGUCUGAGCGUCAUUUCAACCCUCGCCCCCGGCUUCUGUCGGGGACGGUGUUGGGGAUCGGCCUCCCGUCUUCCGGGUGGCCGGCCCCUAAAUUGAGUGGCGACCACGCCGUAACCUCCUCUGCGUAGUAGUUAAACACUCGCGGGCGGAGAGCGGUGCGGCCUGCCGUAAAACCCCCAACUCUUCUAAGGUUGACCUCAGAUCAGGUAGGAAUACCCGCUGAACUUAAGCAUAUCAAUAAGCGGAGGA